ACACGUAGUUUUAAAAUGAGAACGAAACUCCUUUACUUUUUUUUUAUACUACGUAGGUGGCAAACAAGCAUACGGCCCGCCUGAUGUUAAGCAGUCUCCGUAGCCUAUGUACGCCUGCAACUCCAGAGCAGUUACAUGCGCGUUGCCGACCCUAA